ensembl:lncRNA
UGUUAAUUUACAAUGUUACUUUACAAUGUUACAAUUGUUAAGUGUUCCUGUGUUCUUGAUACUCAAGAAAAAGAAGGCGAAGGCUUCAGUUUCUUAAUCCUAUGUAAGAAAUAAUAGAAUUACUCUUUAAAUAAUAAGACUUGUUACUUUCAAUAAAGGUCAAUAAUAAAAAAGACUUUUGAAAGGAAUUUUAAUGACUGAAGUUAUUUAUCAUAAUUUGUGUAGGUCAUAAAUUCAAAUCAUAAUGGUCAUAAAAAAGUCUUAAAAAAGUCUUAAAUUUGACUGAUUAAACCCUGCAGAAACCCUGUUUGAAGCCCACCAGGGUGAAGCAGGUGGAACUGAAGACCACCACAGCAGAGCGGAUGGAACAGAAGACCAUCACAGUGGAUCAGGUGGAGCUGAAGACCAACACACCAGUGCAAAUGAGACUGAAGACAACUACGUUGGGGCUGGAGACCACCAUGGAAGCGCAGGCAGAACUUUAAACCAGCACGACUGAGCAGAAGCUCAACAUGGCAAAACUGGCACAACUGUUAAAGAGAGCACAGACAGCUGGCGAUAAAGCUCGUUCUGAUUCUGAUCAUGAUGGCGCUUCCGUGUGGGCACGUGAUGAUGACGCAGAAGGGCACUUCAAGAAACAGUUGUUUGGUCCCCUACACCCUUCGAAGCUCUCACUCCGGAGGGUAAACUCUUUGAAGGGAUCAGGGCAUAGCCAUGAGCCCUUCUGAAUGGAACGCAGGCUCCGUCCUGUUCAUGUGUGUUUUUGUUCGGGAGGUUUUGUACUCGUUCAGAAGAUGCACAAUAGCGCCCCUGAGUGUAUGAUAGUGAAAACACAGAAAGCUGUAAAAACUCAUCUUUGGCAGGGAAGCUUUUUCUUGUAAAAGACGAGACAACUCGUCAAUGGCGGGGAAAGAUUUAAGAAACGGACACAGCUGACACAGAACAGCAUAUGUCCAGUGGAUGUUCUCCAAAAAUGGCACCAGGGUGAGGUGGAGACAGAUUGUUGAAUAAAGUCGUUAUUUUUUUCUUUUGUGCA